GACGAACGCUGGCGGCGUGCUUAACACAUGCGAGUCGAACGGAAAGGCCCUGCUUGCCGGGUACUCGAGUGGCGAACGGGUGAGUAACACGUGGGUGAUCUGCCUUGCACUUCGGGAUAAGCCUGGGAAACUGGGUCUAAUACCGGAUAGGAGCCAUUUUUAGUGUGAUGGUUGGAAAGUUUUUUCGGUGUAGGAUGAGCUCGCGGCCUAUCAGCUUGUUGGUGGGGUAAUGGCCUACCAAGGCGGCGACGCGUAGCCGGCCUGAGAGGGUGGACGGCCACAUUGGGACUGAGAUACGGCCCAGACUCCUACGGGAGGCAGCAGUGGGGAAGAUUGCACAAUGGGCGCAAGCCUGAUGCAGCGACGCCGCGUGGGGGAUGACGGCCUUCGGGUUGUAAACUCCUUUCGCUAGGGACGAAGCUUUUUGUGACGGUACCUAGAUAAGAAGCACCGGCUAACUACGUG
rnacentral:rRNA from 1 species